rnacentral:lncRNA from 1 species
GAAAGGCUCUAGAGAAGCGCCGCGUUAAAGUAGGGAGGAGGGCCCCCCGAAACUGGCUGCCCCGGGGCAGGGCCGGUUGACCCGCGCCUGGGAGGAGCCCCGCGUCCCGUCGCGCCGACCCUGGGCUGGCUGCGUGUGCGUCGGGAGUCGAGCCGCCGUACGCACCAGGAAGUGACUCCCAGCGGCAGAGAUCCACGCUGUCCGCUGGCUUUUUCGUUUGCCGCCUCAGCUGAGAACCGUGUGUGGGGCCAGCCUAACUGAAGGAAAUGUAAACAGAGUGUAAGCAGGACCCUUGUCUGUGGGUAAGUUUUUUCCUCCAAGAAGCUUCUUGGCCCCACCCGGAUCAGACCUACCAAAUAAGUCUGAGAUUGGAACCUCUGAGCAUUUCACGCAGGUUAGCUAUUCCAUCCUAGAGACUUAGUCUACCCUCCUAUCUGGCAGCUCUGGACUCUUGAGUCCCCUUCUGAUUAAUUCCUGAGGCAAAAACUGAGCAGAUGUCACACUUUUUUUUUAAUCCUGAGCAUUUAUUUAAAAUAGGAACACGUGGGAUCCCUGACCUGGGUGGCUCAGCGGUUUAGCGCCCGCCUUUGGCCCAGGGCGCGAUCCUGGAGACCCGGGAUCGAAUUCCACAUCGGGCUCCCCGUGCAUGGAGCCUGCUUCUCCCUCUGCCUGUGUCUCUGUCUCUCUCUCUGUGACUAUCAUAAAUAAAAAAUAAAAUAGGAACACCUUUGAAAAGAAACUAGUCUUUUCUGUGGGCAGAUGCCCCCUCUGACAUCAAGAAACAAACAUAAUUCACUUUGGUAUUGUUAUGCUGCCUUGAAAAAUAUAUUUUACUACAGAAAUUACUAAAUAUGAUGAAAGAGUCUUUACCAGGAGAGAUGACUGGUUGCAAUAGUACAGUGCUACUUUAUUUAUUUUUAAAUUUAUUUUUUUAAAAAUACAUAUAUUUUUACUUAUUCAUGACAGACAGAGAGGCAGAGACACAGGC